ensembl:lncRNA
GCUCUCUCUGUCGGAGGAGCAUGAGUCAGUAAAUACAACUCUGUAGGGUUUGCAGUUUUUCAUCAACAAUAUUAUGUUUAAGCCUCAGUAGGCUGUGCAGGUCAGCUCUGGCCUGAAUCCAUCCCAAGCCCAAUGAGCUGGGGAGACAUUUGUUUACCCCAAAGAUGCUGAACCUGCUUGGAAUCUACUGGACUCUGUAAGGCUUCUGUGUGUUUCUCUUUCAUCCAGCCCCCACCUAUGAUGCCCCCGUGUGAAUGGUAAUAGACUCUGUAUAAUGGGACUGUUGAAGUUCUGCAGAAAGUUGCCUUUGCUUAGAGGAUUUCAGUUACAGGUGGUUCCAUGCACAAGUCUCUUUGGCCCUGAGGCAUGUGGCUCUUAGCUCCCUGAGCAGGGAUGGAACCCACACUCCCUGCAUUGGAAGGUACAAUGGUUGUGGCUCCUUGGUAAGUGAACAGCUGUCUGCUGUGAACAGUGCUUCCCAGUGUGAAGGCGGGGUUGAAACAAACCAUCAAAGAACCAUGUGGAAUCAGAUUUCUGACUCUGUGUGUGUGCUGCUGUUAUGUUGACGUUGGUUAGUGUUUUAUCCACAACAUGUAUGUGUGAAAAUUCUUCCACAUACAUAGUGAAAACUGUUCUUUCUCCCGGAGACUUUGUAUGUGUCUAUGUAGAAGUGUUAUUCAUGUUGUAUUGCAC